GUGUCAGCAGCCGCGGUAAUACGGGGGGUGCAAGCGUUGUUCGGAAUUAUUGGGCGUAAAGAGCGUGUAGGCGGUUUGUUAAGUCUGAUGUGAAAGCCCUGGGCUCAACCCAGGAAGUGCAUUGGAAACUGGCAGACUUGAAUACGGGAGAGGGCAGUGGAAUUCCUAGUGUAGGAGUGAAAUCCGUAGAUAUUAGGAGGAACACCGGUGGCGAAGGCGGCUGCCUGGACCGAUAUUGACGCUGAGACGCGAAAGCGUGGGUAGCAAACAGGAUUAGAUACCCUGGUAGUCC
rnacentral:rRNA from 1 species